AUAUUAGACAAUCAUGCAUGAUUUUUAUCAACUGAUUUAUUGUUUAGAUGAAUGUUAAAGCAAAAAAACAGUCAAUGACAUGAUUUGUGGGCUCGUUUUAUUAUUGCUCCUCAUUAUUUAGUUUCUUUAGUGAAAUAUCUUGCACCUCAGUCAUAAGUCGACCGACUAAACUCGUAAACCAGUGUGCAAUGGGUCCAGUUCAGGACUCACAGUAAAUAUCAGGAUUAGGUAUUUCACGCGAUAGAACUAAUUGUUGGAGUGAUUUGUGAAUCCUUACUACUUUUCAGUUCGACGUUUUGGUUUAGAUACGAAACAAAAAUAUUUUGUUUUAUUUGAGAUGAAAAUAAAAGAUAAUCUUUCAAAAUUCCAAAAAUAAAUAAUGCAUUGCAUUUAUCCAGCGUUUCAUAAAUCAGUGUGAAAACUUUUCACAACAUUCGUCGGCAGGUUUGACUUGUCUAAAGCAAGUCGUAUUAUUACUUAGUGGUAGCAGCAAAUAAUUUAAUUGAUGUAUUGGGUUACUGGC